AAAAAUGAAUCCAUCCAAAAAAGAAAGCAACUUUUUCAGAAACUCAGUACAAACAUAGCUUUACAAUUAGCUAAAAUUCUUCAUAAAUAAAAAAAUAAUUAUCAAAUCUUUAUGAAUCUAACAUAAAAAGAAAUCAUCUUUUUUAGAUUUCCAAGAUGGGUAUCUCAAAAAUAACCUUAAAUUUCCUUUCUCUAUCAAACUUCAUAAAAAUUGAUCCAAAAAUUUCAGUUGCAGAUAACAAAAAAAAACCAGAAUUCAUAAUAUAUAUAUAGCUUGAAAACUCAAAAUUUAGUGGAUCAGAGCACUUCUAAUUCAAAAGGGAUUGUUUAUUUUUCCAAAUCUGACGAUAUUAUUGAAGAUCCGUCUCCUCCAUGGGUAUAUUUUCGCAUUGGUCUGAAGGUCGUCUGACCGUCGCUGGCGGCACUAUGGCCAUUCCGGUGGAACUGUCAGCCUGCGCUCUUAGUUACCAGAGCACAUUGCUAAUGGAGAAGGAUUGAAAAUGAGAAAGGAG
rnacentral:lncRNA from 1 species